rnacentral:rRNA from 1 species
AGGACGAACGCUGGCGGCGUGCUUAACACAUGCAAGUCGAACGAGGUGCUUCGGCACUUAGUGGCGAACGGGUGAGUAACACGUGAGCAACCUGCCCUUGGCUCUGGGAUAGCCUCCGGAAACGGGGAUUAAUACCGGACAUGACCUGCUCCUGCAUGGGGGCGGGUGGAAAGUUUUUCGGCCAGGGAGGGGCUCGCGGCCUAUCAGCUUGUUGGGGGGGUAACGGCCCACCAAGGCGACGACGGGUAGCCGGCCUGAGAGGGCGACCGGCCACACUGGGACUGAGACACGGCCCAGACUCCUACGGGAGGCAGCAGUGGGGAAUAUGCACAAUGGGGGAAACCCUGAUGCAGCGACGCCGCGUGCGGGAUGAAGGCCUUCGGGUUGUAAACCGCUUUCAGCAGGGGCGAAUUCAGACGGUACCUGCAGAAGAAGCGCCGGCUAACUACGUGCCAGCAGCCGC